rnacentral:lncRNA from 1 species
CCCCAUUCGGCUCUAGGGGGCACUGCUUCUCCGCCGCCGUAGCCUGUGGAGCAAAGUGAAAGUUCUUCGGUGCCUGGAUCCGACUGCCGUCCCAACCCCGGGUUGGGGACCUUGAAUUGGGGUGUCUUGUCUACACCAGCACUUCGGCCAGGCAGUGGGGCCCGGAUCCCACCAGGGGACGAGUGGCAGUCCAUUUCCGUGCUCCCAUCUCCGCCCGUAAGGAAGUGCGCGAAGAUGGGCAGGAGCCCUCUGCACCCCCGGGUUAGAGGUUGGGGCCACCAGGGGAUCUCGGGGCCCAGCUGAACUCCCCGGAAGCUCACCCCGGCGGCCGGCUGCGCCAGCUCCUCUCUGGUUCGGCUCUGUCUGGGGGGCUCCGAGCUGGAGCUGGAGGAGCGCCCUAGCGCAGGACUGAAGAAAGAAGGCGGGGGAUCCCCGGGGCGCAGAGCCAGCCUCAUCAGUGGGGGCUGUCAGAGCUGGAGUGGGCAGAGCCUAUAAAAGCCUGCCCGGAGCGCGAGAGGCGGUGGCAGCGGCGGCGGCAGAAGAGGCGCUCGCUUUGAGAAGCCGAGAGCGUCCUGCGCCCAAGACAAGUUCAUUCGGCUCCGGGAGAGACCCGGGGGCCAGGGGCGCCCAGCUACGUCUGGUACCUGCGCCUCUCUCGGGGAACCCCCUACCCCCAGCCCAGUGUUAAAUAGGGGAACCUCCCCUCUAGUCCCCAGGAGAGCGGUGGGCGGUGCCCACGACUACUUCUCCGCGCGGGAGGAGCCGAGCCAAGCCGGGGAGCUGAGUUUCCUGGAAGCGGUGCCUCGCACAUGGAGUGAGCGCGCCCGGCAGCCCUGCGCACCAUGGGGCGCUGCUCCCCAGCUGCUGGCCGGGCCCCUUAGCCUGAGCCCCUCAGCUCCGAACCUCGGGCCUCGCGGAUCUCGGCCACCUCCUCUGUCUCCGAGUCCUUUAGCCCGGCCGCAGGAGCCGGAGGAUCGGAGGGAGGCCACGGCAUGGAGCUACACGCGCUCUGUGGAUUCCUCUACUGGCUGCUGCUGCCGCUCUCCCUCCUAGCGGCCUGCCUGUUCCGGAUCAAUGGUUUGUCCUUCAUUUAUCUACUUUUUCUGCUGCUCUUGCCUUGGUUCCUGGGACCCACCAAACACAGCAUCAGAGGUAAGGAAAGUGUCGAGCCUCCAUUUGGAUUGGUUGGGAAACAGCUGGUCAGGCAUGGGGGCAGGGGACAUGUUUUGUAUUCCUUGACCCUAUGUGUUCAGGGUUCGAGGUCUCCUCUAAGAAACAGCCACAGAGUGUCAUGUUCCCUCCUUUGACUACUUCUCCUGGUUUCAAAAGCUGACAGUGCCAAUAGACAACAUGGACAAAGAAAAGUCAGUAGGUUAUUCCUAGUGACCAUUUUUUUUUUCCCAUGAAAGAAUCAUACCUUAGGAGUAAAACUGAAGAAGAAGAAAACAUUUUUAGCUGAGAGAAUCAAGGAAGGCUUCUCAGAGGAGGUGACACCUGGAAUGAUGAACCUUAAAGGGAGGAAAAUAUUCCAAGAAGUAGAGCUGAGGAGGGAGGGGAAUACUCUCCGGGGAAGGGGCAUACCCGGGGGCAGAAACUUUGUGUUGAAGCUUUUGGCCAAGGUGGUCCUGGGCAUAUUGACUCUGUGGACCUGUAAAUAAACCAGAACUACCAAGGUAGUCA